rnacentral:lncRNA from 1 species
CAAGACUCUGCUUAUACUAUGGGAUGGAAAGUCAAGCCUUGUCUUGGGAAUGGUGAGGGGCUCUGGUACCACAAAUACACUAAAAAUACUUCCAUGAGUUUCCUUAUAGUUGGAAAUGAAGCAGGAGCAGCAGGAAUAAGAAAUGAGGAACUCCCUGCCAGCUCUCCUGGCGCCCUCACCAUGCCUGAGUCCCUGACUCCAGACCAAGGAAUCUCUGAUACAGCAGG